UAAACGGAUUGUCUCGUGAGAUUAAUCCGAAAUACGGAUAAACGGAUCCAAAUACUUAUAAAAAGAAAAAAAGAAAAAAGAAAAAAAGAAAAAAGAAAAAAAGAAAAAAGAAGACUCGAAUCUACUAAUACACAUAACACAACCACUAACUCGAGAUAUAAAAAAUAUUUCUUAUUAGUUUAAUUAAUUAUUUAAGCAAUUAAAAAUUAAAUAAGGUCACGAAAUAAAUUAAUAUAUGAUAUGCGUGGCAGAAAUUUUGUAUGUUAGUAGUCGGAUUUUGCAGGGGCAAACGGUCUACUUCAAUAAAUUUUCAUGUAAAGGGGUAUUUUGGGUUGAGAAACGGACACACCGAUUCACUGCUGACGUGUCCUCCGGUGCGAGAGGUGUCUGUGAAUCUGCCUGCAACAGAUCUCACCCAACCCCCUCUUCUUCUUCUUCCUCUUCUUCACUUCCCACUAUACACUCUUUUGCUCUUACUCCCUAUUCCUCUGAAGCUCUCUCUCUCUCUGUUAAGCGGAGUUUCCUGUGUUUUGGACUGGGAUAUCACUUUUCUCUCAAAGGGAACCUCGUGAGCUUCAUGGGAAGCUCGCUCAGAGAUCUGGGCUUUAAUUUUCCAACCGGCAUAUUGGAUUCUGCUUUUCCCCUCUUCUGAUUCAGAUACCGCCCGCCAUUUUUUUAGGGGUUUAAGGGGAGUGUACGGACGAUCUUUUGAUUCUCCAAUGGGUUCUUUUGUCUAACAUUUCUCUGUUCGGGUUUUUGCUUGCUGAAGCUGGAUUGAGCUUGGCGCAGUAUGCAUUGGAGUCUGCUGAUUAGGAUUCAGUUGGAGUAGCAUUUAUUAUUUCUGCUACUUCCACUUGAAUCUCCUGCGAUUAGCUUCAUGGUUUACUCGACCCUGGUUCUAUGGGGUGGGUGAUUGGGAGUGGUUCGUCGAUGGAUUUUCCUUGUUUCUCAUUUUCUACUUGGCGGAAACUCGACGAGGUUGGAAUAUAAUGUUUGACGUGGAUUCGUUGAAAUAGAAUUAGAAUUUAACUUUCCUUGUUAAGAUUGAAGGUCCUCUGUUUGCCUAAAUUGCGGGAUAAUUUGGAACUCAUUUGUCAUAGUUGUGGAGAUUUGACCUCGCGUUGUCUGAUUGAUAAUGCAAUAUAUUUUGUUUCGUUUCCUUAAUUGUCAAGAAAUUUCCCGACCAAAUGCAUUUAUGUUCUCAUCAUGACUAGAGCUGUCCGCGAUAGAAUUCUCAAGGAGGCAAAUGGUGAUAUUAGCGAUCAUCUACGUAACCACAUUCACUUGACGAACUGCAUUCACUUGAAGAAUCACAUGCACAAGCACAGCCCAAUCUUGGCUGACAGGUCUCUUAUGAGGGAUCUCAUUGUCCUUCAGAGGUCGCGAUCUCUCAGGGACCCUUCUGCAAGUCCUCCCUCAUGGCAGUCUCCCUCAAUAACUGAUCUGCCAUCAAGGAUGGGCGAAAAUAAUGCUGUGAUUCGUGAAGGAAGAAGGUCGGUAGGAACCGAGAGUCGAAGGGUAGGUGGUAGGACAAUAUCCGGAAGUUCUCCACCCUUGGGAAGUUUUGCAACAUCAAAAGUUGCUCCGGCUGAGGUGAAUGUGGCCGUGGAUGGGGUGACAGCAAUUAGUGAGCACAGUGUUAAGAGUGACAUCCGAGAUGGUAGAAGAAUUCGGAGAGAAGAGUCAAGUAAGAGGAGUGAUAGAAACAGUGCUUUGGAUGGCAAUGAAGAAUCUUCACCUGUUCAUGAUGCGCAUCUUCUGCAUGAGGUUAUUUCAAGGAAAUCGGAGUCUAAAGAUAGAAAGAGUGAACAGAAGGAUAAGCAGGUCAGGGGCAUUCCGUUUAAGACACUUUCGGAGCAACUGAAUUCUGCUCCAAUAGAUAGCGAUGAUAUUGCAUCUUCAAGUGCUAAUGUAUAUUGGAGACGAUCUCAGCAGGAGAAAAUCAUUGAUGAACCUGAACCCAGCUUUCGGGCAAACUGCAGUGGAUUGAAUAGGGUUAAAAGGCGAAAAUUUCGAGGUACAAGGAGAAGUCGUAUGAAUUUAACUUCCAGAGACACUGGUGGUCAAAAUGAAUUGUCUGUAGCUUCUAAUACAUUAGCUCAUGGUUCGACUCAUUCAAAGCAUAAAAUGGAAGAGGACAAUGAAAAUUAUGCCAACAAAAAUGUCAUCGGUGGACCUAGAAAUGGGUGUGGUAUGCCUUGGAAUUGGUCAAGAAUUCAUCAUAGGGGGAAAACGUUUUUAGACAUGGCUGGAAGGAGUUUUUCUUGUGGCAUUUCAGAUUCGAUGUUAAGAAAAUGCAGUCCAACUGCACGUGGGAGAGGCAUUUCUGGCACACCCAUAGCAUCUGAUCACUCAAGCUCAUCUGCUAAAUUUGAUGCCGAGGCACUACCUUUACUGGUUGAGGCAUCUGGGUCCCAGGAAAGCAUUGAAAAUGCAGGCUGGCAACGAGAUUACUCUGGGGAAUUGGGAAUAUUUGCGGAUAAUUAUAUUAAACACGAAGUUGAUUCUGACCUUGCUUCAGAAGCAAGGUGUAGUAACCGAAGAAGAACAAGAGGCCAUCAUCGUUCUAGACAUCAAAAUCUGACACAAAAAUACAUGCCACGAACAUUCAAAGAUUUGGUGGGACAAAAUUUAGUAGCCCAAGCUCUUUCAAAUGCUGUCUUGAAGAAGAAGGUUGGGUUACUAUAUGUGUUUUAUGGUCCUCAUGGUACAGGAAAAACUUCCUGUGCUCGCAUAUUUGCUAGGGCAUUGAACUGCCAGUCUUUGGAACAUUCCAAACCUUGUGGAUUAUGCAAUUCUUGCGUUGGAUAUGACAUGGGAAAGAGCAGGAAUAUAAGGGAAGUUGUUCCUGUUAGUAAUCUUGACUUUGAGAGCAUUACUGAACUACUUGAGCAUAUGAUAGCUUCUCAGCUCCCAUCACAGUAUACAGUGUUCAUUUUUGAUGAUUGUGACAGCUUUUCCUCUAAUUGCUGGAGUGCCAUUACAAAGGUCAUUGACCGAGCACCCAGACGUCUAGUUUUUGUCCUUGUGUGUUCAAGUCUAGAUGUUUUACCUCAUAUAAUUAUAUCCAGGUGCCAGAAAUUCUUUUUUCCAAAGCUGAAGGAUGCUGAUGUUAUCCAUACCUUGCAGUGGAUUGCAACCCAAGAAAAUUUAGAAAUUGAUAAAGAUGCACUAAAACUUAUCACAUCAAGAUCCGAUGGAUCAUUGAGGGAUGCUGAAAUGACUCUUGAGCAGCUCAGCUUACUUGGCCAGAAAAUUUCUGUUCCUCUAAUUCAGGAACUGGUUGGGCUCAUCUCUGACGAAAAAUUGGUGGAUCUUCUUGAUCUAGCUCUAUCUGCAGACACAGUAAACACAGUAAAACACUUGAGGUUGAUUAUUGAAAGUGGUGUGGAGCCAAUGGCCUUGAUGUCACAAAUCGCUACUGUAAUUACUGAUAUUCUUGCUGGUAGUUAUGAUUUCAAAAAAGAAAGACCUCGGAGGAAGUUUUUCCGACGACAGCCAUUAUCCAAGGAAGAUAUGGAAAAGCUACGUCAAGCUCUGAAAACAUUAUCUGAAGCUGAGAAGCAAUUAAGAAUGUCUAAUGAUAAAUUGACCUGGCUUACAGCUGCAUUACUUCAACUUGCUCCAGAUCAGCAGUAUAUGUUGUCCAGCUCUGCUGAGACAAGCUUUAAUCACAGUCCCUUAGCCCUGAAUAAUGUGAGUUGUAGGGGUAUAUCAAGGAAUAUUGACCAGCAUGCUGAAAUAUCUGGUGGCGAGAAAGGAUUGCCAACAGAUGUUAAGUUUGCUGGUCAUUCUGACUCAUAUGAUAAUAGGAUUUCCAAAGGCAUUAGUUUAGACAGAAAAAGACAUUCUGGAGUUGGUGUGGCUCCUCAGCAGAAUAUUGCAAGCACUACAGAUUUAAUGAAGUCUAGUGGAAAGCAGGUUUCUGGUAAAACUCAUAAAGCCAUUGAAGAAAUUUGGUUGGAGGUGCUAGGAAAAAUUCGGAUAAAUAGUAUUAAAGAGUUUUUGAUUCAAGAAGGAACGCUUGCAUCAGUGAGUUUUGGUGCAGCACCAACUGUGCGCUUGAUAUUCAAUUCACAGAAUGCAAAAUCAAAAGCAGAGAAGUUGAGAGAGCAAAUCUUACAAGCAUUUGAGUCUGCUCUUGGGUCCUCAUUGAUAAUUGAAAUUAGAUGUGAAUCAAAAAGGGAUACUACAGUGGGGAACCAUUCAUCAAUUACUUUACCUGCAUCUAAAAAUGGUCUGUUACAGAUUAGAGACAUAAGUGGUCAUAUGCCUCAAGCUCAGCUACAGCACUAUGGUUCUGGUGAAGUUGGAAGAGGCGAAAUUGUUGAAAUAGAUGCUUCACCAAGGGAAGCCCAUAAUCAAGGAGAAUCUAAUCAAAGGAAUUUAGAAGGUUCACAAGGAGAAGUAUCAGUCUCUCGUAAGAACUCGACCUUGUCAUCAAUUUCAGAAAGAAGAGAAGGUGGAGCUCAAAGUCGGAGUCAAAGUAUUGUGAGAAGCAAAGUAUCUCUGGCGCAUGUUAUUCAGCAAGCAGAAGGAUGUUCACAGCGAAGUGGAUGGUCCAAACGCAAAGCUGUAUCUAUAGCUGAAAAACUUGAGCAGGAAAACUUGAGACUUGAACCUCAAUCAAGAAACUUAUUAUGCUGGAAAGCAUCUAGAGUAACUCGAAGAAAGGUAGGCUAUCACGGUUGAAAGUUAGAACUCGAAGGCCACAGUCAUUGCUGAAACUUGUUUCCUGUGGUAAAUGUCUUUCUGCGUAGUUAGCAAGGGAGUGCAUCCCUUCACUUCAAACCGACACUUCUCUCAUUAUAUCAGGCUCCGGAAUGAGCUUGAAUCUGGAAUUGUAGAAGUCAAUACAAAUUAUAUCUUAGGUUGAUGAAGAAGCUAGCUUCAUUUUCACACCAUAGCGCUCCGGAUUGGCGGCAGCUUCCCUCCUUAUGUUAACUAAGGAACUGGAAAGGUGCUCCAGUUUACAUUUUUCACAAUAGAAUAUGAUGAUUCGGGUGUAUAUUUUUCUCCUGACAUUUGAACGGUGAAGAUAUAUAUUUUUCUUCCUCUCUAGGAAUUUAUGAAUACGAUGAUUCAGGAAAAUAUGGGGAAAUUAGUCUCUUCUUCCA